UACAGAGGUCUCAAGCGUUGUUCGGAUUCAUUGGGCGUAAAGGGUGCGCAGGCGGUUCGUUAAGUCGGAUGUGAAAUCUCACAGCCUAACUGUGAUAGGGCAUUCGAAACUGGCGGACUCGAGGAUUGGAGAGGAGACUGGAAUAGUCGGUGUAGCGGUGAAAUGCGUAGAGAUCGACUAGAACACCGGUGGCGAAGGCGAGUCUCUGGACAAUUCCUGACGCUCAGGCACGAAAGCCAGGGGAGCAAACGGG
rnacentral:rRNA from 1 species